rnacentral:rRNA from 1 species
GACGGACCGAGCGAACGUUGUUCGGAAUCACUGGGCUUAAAGGGCGCGUAGGCGGGCCAUCAAGUCAGGGGUGAAAGCCCCCAGCUCAACUGGGGAAGUGCCUCUGAUACUGGUGGUCUCGAGGGAGAUAGGGGCGUGCGGAACUUCCGGUGGAGCGGUGAAAUGCGUAGAUAUCGGAAGGAACACCGGUGGCGAAAGCGGCGCGCUGGAUCUCUUCUGACGCUGAGGCGCGAAAGCCAGGGGAGCGAACGGG